rnacentral:lncRNA from 1 species
AGCCAAUUCACCUUUGAAAAGACACAUAAUAUCCAAUUUUGGUAAGUUGUAACAAAAUGGCUAGCUCCCCUUCAUUGUGUUUUGCCCAUAUGGCUAGCUCCCCCCUCAUUGUGUUUUGCCCAUAUGGCUAGCUCCCCCUCAUUGUGGCCUUGUCUCACAAGUGGUCAUGUCCAAGUGUGGAGUUAGAAAUUUAUGAGUUGAAAUUAUUUACGGAUCUCUGUGUUUAGACAAUAGGAUCUAGAAAUUUGGACUAUUUGAUUUAAAUUAUAUGGUCAUCAUUAGCCUAUCUCUUAGCCCACCCCAUAGAAAACAGGAGGUGAAUUGUCUGCCCUCCCAUUUCCAUACUCUCCCCAUGCCCUUAUGUGAUGUGUGGUCAUGGUUAAGCUACGUCAACAUUUUAUAUUAAUUUUUUAUAGAAAUAAUAAAACAAAAGGUAAUAGGAAUAUAAAAUGUUGAUGUGGCUUAACCGUGAUCACACAAACAGGAGGGGAUGGGAAGAGUAUGGAAAUGGGAGGGCAAACAAUUCAUCUCCUAGAAAACAAAGUCUUUGAACAAUCUGGAUCUCUCUCUCUUAAAUAGCUCGGAUUUCUGGGUCCGGUUGCUCCCGACACAAAGAUCCGAAGAGAAUCUCAACUCAGAAUUCACAUAGGAGUGGACUAAUUUGUUUUUCUUGUAGUAUGAAGUGAAAUUUAGGUGUUUGGGUAGGCUAAUUCUUGUUUUGUCAAUGUUAGGCUUUAAUUUUUCCACCACAUCCUUACUUUAACACAAAAUAAAUAAGAAUUAUUAUUGACACUCCAAAAAUUUAUUUUACUCUCCAAACUUUCUAUAAUUUGAAGAAAAAUACGUUUGUGAGCAGGCAUAAUAGAAUUUUUAGAAUACUAAUAACAGUAGCCAGAAAAGUUCAUCUUUGAAAACUAGGGUAUGCUAAAGCCAACCCUUGUUCCUGUGUCUCUCGUUCUAGCCGUGCUAUUUCACACAUAAAAAGUCUCACUUCAAGCUUACCGAAAUUUUGAUUUGAGUUCAUUUAUGUGUUUGCUAACGAUGUAAGUCAUUGUUUAGCUCACCUCGUAAAAAUGGAGAGUGGUACUAGAUUUGCACUUCAAUUUUUUCUUGUAAUUACUUUACUCCUUGGCAAUCUUUUAGAGGAGCACGUACUAUAAUAUUCUCCUUCAUACCUUAAUGCGUAUUUGUAGGUCGUUCUUUUGGCAGCGAGUUAUGAGAGAGCUUUGAGGGAAGUGAAAAACAAAUCUUAUAUCCUCCAUGAAAUUUAGUAAAGUGCUAUUUUUAGUUUGUAUAUUUUCAAUAUAUAUUUUUUGGUAUUUCUCUAAACUUUUACAGGAAUACAAAAGGUUAUUGUCAAUUACCGAUAAACUUCUCACUUCUUAGAGUUAAGUUCUACUCAAAUUUAAUUUGUUGAAGACUGAAUUCACGUGUUGAUACACAAAAACGAAGGUCUUGGAACAACGUAAAUCCGACCGUGAAUCUACAAGAAAUAUAAAAAACACAAGAUGUAUCGUGGUUCACCCCAAGGUUUGGGCUACGUCCACACUGAUUAUUGUAUUUAUCUGAGAGGUGAGGGAGAGAACCUCUGAAUAUGAGAGGGGAUGUGAGUGGGGUGAGAAGGCUUAGGAUUUGGCCUCCCCUAAUUAUGAGGGUGAGGAGUCCUUUUAUAGAAUAAGUGCUCCUCACUUAUUACAUAUUUGCCCCUUCCUUUAUCACAUAAUUACAUUUAAGUCCCCUGAGUAUUUGUACGAGGUCUAAAUACAGAGGCCCUAAGUAUGGUAUAAACAGUAGUCCCCCAAGUCUUCAGUCAAAAGAGUCUUUUGCUGGAGACUUGAAAUUCAGUCCAUGUGUGGGCCGAAGUAACUAGAUGUUGUCUUGAACUGAUGUUCGAUAUGAGGCGGUACCCAAUCUAAAAUGAUGCUCAACUAGAAGUAGCACAUGUUGCGGGGCUGCUCUGCUUGUGGCUUAUGUUGCCUUGGUUGGCUCGACUUGUGGUGUUUGAAGGUGAGGAAGUCCCUUUUAUAGAAUAAGGGCUCACUCCUCAAUACAUAAAUGAUGGGCUAGAGUAGAUGGUCGCAGCGAGGCGGUUGCUCAAUAGGCGGCAAUGCUCUCUAAUGAUGGUGAGGGAGUCCCUUUUAUAGAAUAAGUGCUCGCUCCUCAAUACAUAAGUGAUGGGUUAGGAGUGAUGCUCUCGGCGAGGCAGUUGAUCAGCUGGCGGCAAUGCUCUCUAAUGAAGGUGAGGGAGUCCCUUUUAUAGAAUAAGGGCACGCUCCUCAAUACAUAAGUGAUGGGCUAUGAGUGAUGCUCGCGGCGAGGCGGUUGCUCAGCUGGCGGCGUUGCUCUCUAAUGAAGGUGAGGGAGUCCCUUUUAUAAAAUAAAGGCUCGCUCCUCAGUACAUAAGUAAUGGGCUAAGUCCCCCAAGUAUUUUUCUUGAGGCCUAGUUGAGGCCCAAUAUAUGGUACAUAAUGUAGUCCCCCAAGUCUUUGGUCAAUAGAGUUUAUUGGCUGGAGACUUCAAAUUGAAUCCAUGUAUGGGCCGAACUGGCGGUUGUUCGAAUGCGGUAUUUGUAUACCCUGCAUUUGAAGCUUUGUAGGUGAAGCUUUGCAAGUGAAGCUUUGAAGCUAGAGCUCUGUAAAUGACGCUUUUGAAGCUAGAGCUCUGUAAAUGAAGCUUUUGAAGCUGAUUGACAUGAGUGAUGCUCAUGAAUGUUUAUGUUGAUUGACAUGAGUGAUGCUCAUGGAUGUUAUCAUGAGUGAUGCUCAUGAAUGUUAACAUGAGUGAUGCUCAAGAAUGUUGACAUGAAUGAUGGUCAUGAAUGUUUAUGUAUGAUUGUCAUGAGUGAUGCUUAUGAAUGUUUAUGUAUGAUUGUCAUGAGUGAUGUUUAUGAAUGUUUAUGUAUGAAUGACAUGAGUAAUGCUCAUGUAUAAUUUGGAAUACUGGGCGUACUUUUGAUCACCUGGUUAGUGGCAUGAAGGAGAGUACGGGUUGUACAUUUCAUGACCUGGUUGGUGACAUGAAUGGCUAGUUGUCAAAUGAUAUUAGAGUACGGGUUGUACAUUUCAUCACCUGGUUGGUGGUAAUAGCGGCAGGUUGCCGAAUAAUUUUGGAGUACUGGGCGUACUUUUGAUCACCUAGUUGGUGGUAAUAGCGGCGGGUUGCCGAAUAAUUAUGGAGUAUUAG